UGGGGAAUAUUGCACAAUGGGCGCAAGCCUGAUGCAGCCAUGCCGCGUGUGUGAAGAAGGCCUCGGUUGUAAAGCACUUUCAGCGAGGAGGAAGGUGGUGAGCUUAAUACGCUCAUCAAUUGACGUUACUCGCAGAAGAAGCACCGGCUAACUCCGUGCCAGCAGCCGCGGUAAUACGGAGGGUGCAAGCGUUAAUCGGAAUUACUGGGCGUAAAGCGCACGCAGGCGGUUUGUUAAGUCAGAUGUGAAAUCCCCGGGCUCAACCUGGGAACUGCAUUUGAAACUGGCAAGCUAGAGUCUCGUAGAGGGGGAUAGAAUUCCAGGUGUAGCGGUGAAAUGCGUAGAGAUCUGGAGGAAUACCGGUGGCGAAGGCGGCCCCCCUGGACGAAGACUGACGCUCAGGUGCGAAAAGGCGUGGGGGAGCAAAACAGGAUUAGAUACCCUGGUAGUCCACGCUGUAAAACGAUGUCGA
rnacentral:rRNA from 1 species